GGUUUCCUCCAGGUGCUCCCACAUGUUCUCCCUGUGUCAGCGUGGGUUUCCUCCAGGUGCUCUGACAUGUUCUCCCUGUGUCAGCGUGGGUUUCCUCCAGGUGCUCUGACAUGUUCUCCCUGUGUCAGCGUGGGUUUCCUCCAGGUGCUCUGACAUGUUCUCCCUGUGUCAGCGUGGGUUUCCUCCAGGUGCUCUGACAUGUUCUCCCUGUGUCAGCGUGGGUUUCCUCCAGGUGCUCUGACAUGUUCUCCCUGUGUCAGCAUGGGUUUCCUCCAGGUGCUCUGACAUGUUCUCCCUGUGUCAGCGUGGGUUUCCUCCAGGUGCUCUGACAUGUUCUCCCUGUGUCAGCGUGGGUUUCCUCCAGGUGCUCUGACAUGUUCUCCCUGUGUCAGCGUGGGUUUCCUCCAGGUGCUCCAGCUUCCUCCCACAGUCCAAAGACAUGCAGGUUAAUUGGUGACUCUAAAUUGUCCGUAGGUGUGAAUGUGAGUGUGAAUGGUUGUCUGUCUCUAUGUGUCAGUCCUGUGAUAGUCUGGUGACCUGU